rnacentral:rRNA from 1 species
UGCAAGUCGAUCGAAGUAGCAAUACUUAGUGGCAGACGGGUGAGUAACAUGUAGGUAUCUACCCUUUGGCCUGGAAUAACACGAGGAAACUUGUGCUAAUACCGGAUAAGUCUUUACGGAGAAAGCUUUAUGCACCAUUGGAUGAGCCUGCACUUGAUUAGUUUGUUGGUGGGGUAAUGGCCUACCAAGACUGUGAUCAAUAGCUGAUUUGAGAGGAUGAUCAGCCACAUUGGGACUGAGACACGGCCCAAACUCCUACGGGAGGCAGCAGUGGGGAAUCUUGCACAAUGGAGGAAACUCUGAUGCAGCGAUGCCGCGUGAGUGAAGAAGGCCCUUGGGUUGUAAAGCUCUUUCGUCGGGGAAGAAAAUGACUGUACCCGAAUAAGAAGGUCCGGC